UACAGAGGUCUCAAGCGUUGUUCGGAUUCAUUGGGCGUAAAGGGUGCGUAGGCGGCGCGGUAAGCCGGGUGUGAAAUCUUGGAGCUUAACUCCGAAACUGCAUUCGAUACUGCCGUGCUUGAGGACUGGAGAGGAGACUGGAAUUUACGGUGUAGCGGUGAAAUGCGUAGAUAUCGUAAGGAAGACCAGUGGCGAAGGCGGGUCUCUGGACAGUUCCUGACGCUGAGGCACGAAGGUCAGGGGAGCAAACGGG
rnacentral:rRNA from 1 species